rnacentral:rRNA from 1 species
UGCAAGUCGUGCGGACCUUUUAAAAGCUUGCUUUUAACAAGGCUAGCGGCGGACGGGUGAGUAACACGUGGGCAACCUGCCUGUAAGACCGGGAUAACGCCGGGAAACCGGGGCUAAUACCGGAUAGUUUUUUUCUCCGCAUGGAGGAAAAAGGAAAGGCGGCUUCGGCUGCCACUUACAGAUGGGCCCGCGGCGCAUUAGCUAGUUGGCGGGGUAAUGGCCCACCAAGGCAACGAUGCGUAGCCGACCUGAGAGGGUGAUCGGCCACAUUGGGACUGAGACACGGCCCAAACUCCUACGGGAGGCAGCAGUAGGGAAUCUUCCGCAAUGGACGAAAGUCUGACGGAGCAACGCCGCGUGAGUGAAGAAGGCCUUCGGGUCGUAAAACUCUGUUGUUAGAGAAGAACAUGUCUGAGAGUAACUGUUCAGGCAAUGACGGUAUCUAACCAGAAAGCCACGGCUAACUAC